GUACCAUUGGUUUAGUGGUAGAAUAGUACCUUGCCACGGUAUAGAGUCGAGUUCAAUUCUUGACUGGUGCA
rnacentral:tRNA from 1 species